rnacentral:lncRNA from 1 species
GCUAAAAAGAUGAAUAGAAAGUAUUCAAUAGAAGGAGGAAGAGAAGAGCAUUUCAGACAAAGGGAAUUGCACGUACAAAGCACAGAGGCAAAGGAGCUGGUUGCUUGUUCAAAAACCGAGAUUUAGGUAUGACUGAAGCAUAGAGGAUGUGUGGGAAACUGACAAGAGUUGGGGCUGCAGAGAUGGUGCAGUGCUCAACGUGCGGUUAUAUUAAGGCCAUUGGUGUGAGUGCACUGUAGGGUUUCAAGUAGGGAGAGACAAGCUUCUGCUUGGUUCUUAGAUCAUUCUCAGAGUAGUAUGGAGGCUAAGAUGGGUAAGACAUAUGUGCACACAUGCACCCACACUUACACUCACAUACAUACGCACUCAUAUACCCACACCUACAUACACACACAUGCAUAUGCACACAUGCACCCACACAUACACACACAUGCAUUUGCACACAGCACCCUCACAUACACACACACGUGCAUAUGCACACAUGCACCCACACACAUGCAUAUGCACACAUGCACCCCACACAUGCAUAUGCACAUAUGCACCCACACAUACAUGCACCCACACAUCCAUACACACAUAUGCACACAUGCACUCCCACCCACAUGUAUAUGCACACAUGCACUCCCCCACAUGCAUAUGCACAUAUGCACCCACACAUAAAUGCACACACACAUGCAUAUGGGCACAUGCACCCACACACACAUGCAUAUGCAUGCAUGCACCCCCACAGACAUGUAUAUGCACAUAUGCACCCACACAUACAUACACACACACAUGCAUAUGUGCACAUGCACCCACACAUACACACACAGGCAUAUGCACACAUGCACCCACACAUAUACACACAUGCAUAUGUGCACACACACCCACACAUGUAUGCAUAUGAGCACAUGCACUCACAUAUACAUACACACAUGCAUGAACACACGUACCCACACACACAUAUGCAUAUGUACAUAUGUGCACACAUGCACUCACCCCUACACAAAUACAUAUGCACACAUGUGCACACAUGCACCCACCCACCCACAAGCAUAUGUACACAUGCACCACACAUACACACACAUGAAUAUGUAUGCAUGCACCCAUACACAUAUAUACACAUGCAUAUGGACACCCACACCCACACACACAUGCACAUAUGCAUAUACACACAUGUGGCACACCUGCACCCACCCCCCCACAAAAUACAUAUGCAUAUAUGUGCACGCAUGCACCCACACACAUACACACAUGUGCACACAUCCACACACAUGCAUAUCCACACAUGCACCCACACACAUACAUGCACCCACACACUCAUGCAUGUGUACACAUACACCUACAGAUACAUACCCACACAUGCAUAUGCACACAUGCACCCACACAUACAUAUACACACAUGCGUAUGCAUGCCUGUGCACACAUAUAAAACCCACAUCCAAAUGUUAUGGAAACUUUUGUCUAUCUUUCCUUAUUUUUUCCACUUUCUUUUUCACAGUCAGAUCUUUGAUCUACCUAGAAUUUAUGUUUGUUUAUGAUGUUAAGUAGCUUUGCUUUUCUUUCAAAUGUUUAACCAAUUGUCCCAAUACCACGAAGUUAAUAAACUAUCCUUUUUAUAAAUAACCUGAAAUGUCAUACUCGUUAUAUAUUAAAUGCCUAUAGCUUUCAGAGACGGCUUCUGAACACUUCAAGUAAGUCAUCUAUUUUGUACCAAGCUUUUCGAAAUACUAUAGUUU